rnacentral:rRNA from 1 species
AGUAAUCUGCCUAAGGAAGAGCUCNCGUCUGAUUAGCUAGUUGGUGGGGUAAAUGCCCACCAAGGCGAUGAUCAGUAGUUGGUUUGAGAGGAUGAUCAGCCACACUGGGACUGAGACACGGCCCAGACUCCUACGGGAGGCAGCAGUGAGGAAUUUUCCGCAAUGGGCGAAAGCNUGACGGAGCAAUACCGCGUGAGGGAUGACGGCCUUUGGGUUGUAAACCUCUUUUUUCAAGGAGGAAGUUCUGACGUGUACUUGAAGAAUAAGCAUCGC